rnacentral:rRNA from 1 species
CACGUAGGGGGCAAGCGUUGUCCGGAUUUAUUGGGCGUAAAGAGCUCGUAGGCGGCUCAGUAAGUCGGGUGUGAAACCUCCAGGCUCAACCUGGAGACGCCACCCGAUACUGCUGUGGCUUGAGUCCGGUAGGGGAGCGUGGAAUUCCUGGUGUAGCGGUGAAAUGCGCAGAUAUCGGGAGGAACACCGGUGGCGAAGGCGGUUCUCUGGGCCUGUACUGACGCUGAGGAGCGAAAGCGUGGGGAGCGAACAGG